rnacentral:rRNA from 1 species
AUUAGCAUAUCAUUAAGCGGAGGAAAAGAAACUAACAAGGAUUCCCCCAGUAACGGCGAGUGAAGCGGGAAGAGCUCAAGCUUAAAAUCUCCAUACUUGUAUGGCGAAUUGUAGUCUAUUGAGGCUGUUGUCAGCAUCGCGAUUGGGGACAAGUCCCUUGGAAAAGGGCAGCAUAGAGGGUGAUACUCCCGUCUCUGCUCCAAUCUGCGGUGUGUACGAUACGCUUUCUUUGAGUCGAGUUGUUUGGGAAUACAGCUCAAAGUAGGUGGUAAAUUCCAUCUAAAGCUAAAUAUUGGUGCGAGACCGAUAGCGAACAAGUACCGUGAGGGAAAGAUGAAAAGAACUUUGAAAAGAGAGUUAAAGAGUACCUGAAACUGUUGAAAGGGAACCGUAUCGUUUCCAGUGUUGUAUCCUAUGCAUAUUUCAUUCGCGGAGUAAUUUGCGGGUGCCCUGUGCAUGGGUGUGACGUCAGGGUCAGUUUGUAUGCUGCGGGAGAUGGUCAGUGAGGAGGUGCGUCACUUCGGUGAAAGUUAUAUCUCGCUGUCUAGUAGCCGUGGUUGAGACUGAGGUGCCUACAACAUGCCUUAAGGUUCCGUGUUGUCUCGUGUUGGUGACUGCUUUGAUAGCUUGCUAUGUCUGUGGUUUAUCAGUGCGAUUGAUGAUGCGGAUAACUUUUGCUGUUCGGGACUCUGGCGAAAUGGAGCGAUACGACCCGUCUGA